rfam:Salmo salar isolate Sally breed double haploid chromosome ssa10, whole genome shotgun sequence.
GGCAUUCACUACUGUAAGUCGCUCUGGAUAAGAGCGUCUGCUAAAUGACGUAAA